AGCAGCCGCGGUAAUUCCAGCUCCAAUAGCGUAUAUUAAAGUUGUUGCAGUUAAAAAGCUCGUAGUUGAAUUUCGGGGUUAGUAGGUUGGUCAUGCCUCUGGUAUGUACUGGUCUCACUGAUUCCUCCUUCCUUAUGAACCGUAAUGCCAUUAAUUUGGUGUUGCGGGAAAUUUGGACUGUUACUUUGAAAAAAUUAGAGUGUUUAAAGCAAGCUAACGCUUGAAUACAUUAGCAUGGAAUAAUGAAAUAGGACGUUCGAUCUUAUUUUGUUGGUUUCUAGGAUUGACGUAAUGAUUAAUAGGGAUAGUUGGGGGCAUUAGUAUUCAAUUGUCAGAGGUGAAAUUCUUGGAUUUAUUGAAGACUAACUACUGCGAAAGCAUUUGCCAAGGAUGUUUUCAUUAAUCAAGAACGAAAGUUAGGGGAUCGAAGACGAUCAGAUACCGUCGUAGUCUUAACCAUAAACUAUGCCGACUAGGGAUCGGAUGAUGUUAAUUUUUUAAUGACUCA
rnacentral:sRNA from 1 species